UGGGGAAUAUUGGACAAUGGGCGCAAGCCUGAUCCAGCCAUGCCGCGUGAGUGAUGAAGGCCUUAGGGUUGUAAAGCUCUUUCACCGGUGAAGAUAAUGACGGUAACCGGAGAAGAAGCCCCGGCUAACUUCGUGCCAGCAGCCGCGGUAAUACGAAGGGGGCUAGCGUUGUUCGGAAUUACUGGGCGUAAAGCGCACGUAGGCGGACAUUUAAGUCAGGGGUGAAAUCCCGGGGCUCAACCUCGGAACUGCCUUUGAUACUGGGUGUCUUGAGUAUGGAAGAGGUAAGUGGAAUUGCGAGUGUAGAGGUGAAAUUCGUAGAUAUUCGCAGGAACACCAGUGGCGAAGGCGGCUUACUGGUCCAUUACUGACGCUGAGGUGCGAAAGCGUGGGGAGCAAACAGG
rnacentral:rRNA from 1 species